AAAAACCUAAAGCACAGGACUUGUUAUUAAUAUAUAAUAAUUAUACCACUGUGCGCAAAAAACGGCCACACAUACACAGAAACUGUUGCAGGCCGGUAAAUGGCACUACAUCUGGAAAAGUCAUUUUUACUGGAACCAAUGAAAAGGCAUAAACCACUUACUGCUGUUUGUGUCCGGGCCACGCGGCGUCUCCUUUGGAUGUUCAACUCUAUAUAACCCAUUGCUGCAUAACCCAGGCAGAUUGCAGCCUCCUCGGCUCUCUCUCCAUCGGCCCUGACACGUCCUCAUUCAGGAUAUCACAGGCCGUCAUACCAAAUCCCCACCUACAGGAGGAGACUCAAUAGUCAAUUGCGAGUUAUGCUGGGUGGCUAGGCGUCUUUCACUGUGGACAUUUUGAUAUAACUCGAGGUGUAAACAAUCACAUGUGUGAAUUGCAAUGAGGAGCUUCAGUUUCAGGCUCCUUAUAUUGUACAUGUUGGCAGACUGUCGUGCUAGUGUGGAAUACCGGAACCCUGAAAAGAGCCACAGCCACUGUGAUUUCCAUAUAAUGAAAAGUCCAAAUGUCUGCUGCUUUUUUUAAUGUCAUGUGACAAUCAAAAUAAGAACAAUUGUCAAAAUGUAGGUUUUUUUUAUGGCUGUAAUUAGCCAUAACCAUGGUAUAUUGAUGUUUAAUUAAAUGUACUACUAUUGCUGAUAAUUACAAUUAUGGUUUUCUUUAUUGUAAUAAAGGCUUUUAACAUGAUAGAGGUUUGACCGGUUGGCUCAUCCAGUCCAACUUUAUUUGAUAAAUCAAUAUUUUAUAUUCCUUCCUUGCUUGCAAGUGCACUUUUAUUCACAACUUUUUUUCCCUACUUAUUAUGGUGGGAGAAGAAAAGGUGUGGCCACAAAGAAAUGCACUUGCCACGGUGACUGUAGUAAUCGAACGCGCCCGACGACGUGCAGUACGCCUGUUACCGCAGAGGUCGUACAAAUCAAAUAAAACCUUUAUUGACGUGUUUUGCAUGGGGACUCCCCCAAACCGCUCCCUGGCCCCCUUUUCCCCAACCAGGGUGUUGAUGUGGUUCCCCAGAGUAUCGACCCGGCAACCUACAGCCCAAUUCCCCGUGCCCUCAUAUCCUGGUGUGAGCACAGAGGCCACCGGCCCGGCCCGGCCAGGGCAGGUGAAGCCCCGAACGCCGUUACGUAACCACAGAGGAAGUCAUCCGUCAGUGGGGCGGCGUGGGGCGGCACUCAACUGUGUCCUUUUUUUUUCCGGUGGGAGCCGCCGCUUCCAGUGUGCGAGGGUGACGGCGCGGUCAGUCUGGAGUGUUUGUGUUAGCCUAAAUCAGUUUGAGCGGAGUGGAAACAAUCCAGGGGGCGUCAUAGGUGUGUGUUUGUGUGUUUGUCGCUCCCUGAGGAUUUAUUGUGACAAAUUAUCAGCCAUAGACAAACAACAAGCAAGCCACCCGCCUGUCCCCGUAAACAAACAAACAAACAAACAGAGGAGACAGACAAACAGGCCGUCACGCCACGCCGAGUUUACAAGGAUUAAUCACCGUUUGGCAGAAAUCAAUGCAGGCUUAUUUAGUUUUGAUCAACAAUCAAUGCUGCACUGUUGUGUGUAUCUACGCGUAUUAGUUCUUGCAGGCACGUCUGCAUGGCCACCUGUGUCCAUCACUGUGUGGGGACGCAUGUUUUUGGAAUGCAUUUUGUGCGCCUGUGCAUGUGGUAUCAUAUGUGUGUGUGUGUGUGUGUGUGUGUGUGUGUGUGUGUGUGUGGGGGGGGGAUGUAACCCAAACCAGAGCGGCACAACACAGCAGCCUGUUCAAAGGCACGUUUGUAUUAUUACAGCUUGUCCAGCUGCUCAGGACAGACAAACAAGACUUAGAGCUCUGAGCUGCAAAACACAGACCUCCCACCCCAUCGCACAGACCCCUGUGGCCCGGCCCCCGCAACGCCGAUCAGAAAUGGACAAACAGACGCCCACAAAUAGACAAACCAACGGCCAAGAGUGGAAGUCUUUGUCCUGAAACGAUGAGCGACACUUGGAGAGCUGAUGAAAACGAAUGCCUGUGUUUGCGGCGCAAUAUUUCUUCUCGGCGUGUGCUCGGCGUGCCCCAUAAGCAGCUCUCUCCUCUGGAGACCCCCCCCCCCCCCGCCCGCCCUCCAAAUGAAUCUGAUCGUGGCGAUUAAGAUCAGAGUAAGCCAACACUCUCGCUCCCUCACGCCUACGCUACCCAUCGACAUUGUCUCCUUUUCACCUCAACUUGUGCCGUUCACCCUGACCUCCAUCCUCCGUCCUCGAUAUCUUCCACACUCCUCCAUCCCUCAUCUAUCCUGCUCUGCUCCUCCUCCUCCUCUCCCCCUUGUGCUCCUGCUCCUUUUCCCUCUCUGAAUCAGGGUCCCUGUGUGCCUGUAUGUAACAUCAGUAAAGCUGUCAGGCGGCCAGGCCAAGGUAAACAGCCCAGCGCCGGGUUCAGGGGUGAUGGGGGCCGAGAUGUUUUUCCUCAGGAACCCAGGGACCCCUGGAGGCUUCUGGCUGGGGCCAGGGAGGGGCCGAAGGGGGGAAGACGAUCCCCUCAGUUGCCCCCCACAAGAACACACACCGCCCGAUUUCUCCUUCCAUCCUCUCCCUUUUGUCACCGACCUCCUAAUCACACUCGCCUCUCUUUCUGCAUCUGUGUACACAAAGCUCUUCAACAGCAUCUUUUGACACAUGUACAAUCAGUCAUUGGUGCUCUCGCACACUCCUACACAACCACUUGGGGCCUAAAUCCUUCCUGUUUCAGUAUUAAAGAGAUAUACUCAUGCAUAUAAAUAUGUCACAUAAUGUACAUUAUGCAGAAUGUGGUAGGUGUUGAAAGCAUAAAUAUCAUUUUAUUUUCAACUGCACAAUUGACAUUUUCAAAUUGAUUGAUUUUGGCCUGAUGUGCUUCUGGAGGAAUUCAGCAAAUCAAUUA
ensembl:lncRNA